rfam:Oryza glumipatula chromosome 4, whole genome shotgun sequence.
AAAAAAGUAAACCCUGGGUUUCCGUGUCCAACUUUGACUGUCGUCUUAUAUGAAUUUUUUUUAUAAUUCGUAUUUUCAUUGUUGUUAGAUGAUAAAACAUGAUUAAUAUUUUAUGUGUGACUUGUCUUUUUAAUUUUUUCAUAAUUUUUUCAAAUAAGACAGACGGUCAAACGUUGGGCACGGAAAUCAGGGUUUAUCUUUUU